CCCUCCCUGCCCCUUUUCCCUCUGCCCCAACUCACACUUGGUCUAAAAUAAGAAACAAAAACCAAAAAAACCCCAAACAAAAAUAAUGUUGAUUAAUUAAUUCAUUGAAAAAUGAUGGCGGCAUCAAAACAGAUUUGUAAUUAAAUACCUUUCUUCACUCCACUAUUGCAAGGGAGGGGAAGGAGAGUGGGUUACAUUUAUUUAUUAAAAAAAAUUUUUUUUAGAUCUUAUUUAAUUCUUAUUUACUCAUUCAUUCAGAGUAAUCUCUACCCUCAACGUGGGGCUCGAACUCAUGACCCUGAGAUCAAGAGUCAGAUGUUCUUCAGAUGGAGCGAGCUAGGCACCCUGACAGUGGGGUACAUUUAGCACUGAAACUGAACUCUGAAACUUCUCCUUUGGAAGGAAACAAGGGUUCAAAAGUUUGGGAUUCCCAAAUCUUCCUAAUCUGCAACAUCUCGAAAAUGAAAAUAUUUUCCACAGUGAAGAUCGAUGGCCCUUUACCUAAGUGGCCUUCCUAAUCUAACCUGUGUGAACAAUGCUAAUGGAGGCUGGUAGCUGGUGAAACACACUCUAGUUUUGAUACAGUAUGGAGAAAAGAGGCAUCGUUCAGCAUCAACAGCACAGACAUUUAGAGGUAGUGCUCCUUACUGCUUUCCUGUGCUCUCCGGCCGUGAGCAGGACCACACCGUCCUCUUGGAUCUCCAUCAGUCUGAUUAGUUCUGAUCUUUGCUCCUCCAUUAUGGACUUAGCAACUGGAGAAUUCCAGUUUCUAUUGGCUUUUGGGAAUACAGAACUGAAGAUGGUCUUCAUUCCCUCCCUCAACCCCUUCGAAAUGAUACUAAAUGAAUUACAAAAGGAAUCUCAACAUAAUGAAAAAAUGAAAGGGGAUAUAAGGUGGGGAAAUACUGCAGAUUUGUGGCAGGCUGCAAGGGAACAGAAUAGGAAGGAUCAAAGCAGCAAGACACAGGAAGCUCUGGCCUGGAGAAAAAUGGAGCGGCCUCAGCACAAGAAGGAACUGAUUUUAGCAGAAGCCUAGAGAGGCUCAGGACUCUUAGGAAGCUUUGGUUUCCCAGGGUAAUGGGCAACGACUCUGCUGCUCCCACUAAACUGAUCCUACCCAUUCACAAAGCUCUUCCGAGGACCCCGUGCUCCCAAACAGCUUUAAAAAAAAUCUUUUUAAGUAACCUCUAUACCCAAUGUGAGGCUUGAACUCAUGACCUCCGAGAUCACGCUUGUGAGUUCAAGCCCUGCA